rnacentral:lncRNA from 1 species
AAACACACAUCCUAGCAGAGAAUUAACAUAGCUAAUACACUCAGAACAGCAACACACUCAGCACACAUAGAAGUUAAUAAAAACUUCAAACAGCAGCAACACAAGUAGAUAGCAAACAGCAUCACACAUACACUCAUCACACAUAGAAGUUGAACAUCAAGCUGCAACACAACCUCUGAAUUAGAGGAUCUUCAACUUCAAAUAGAUAUGUUCAAGAAAUUAACAAAUCUGUUGUCCUGGGGUACAGGUGUU